rnacentral:rRNA from 1 species
CAGUAGCCGCGGUAAUACGAAGGGUGCAAGCGUUAAUCGGAAUUACUGGGCGUAAGGCGUGCGUAGGCGGUUUGUUAAGUCUGUUGUGAAAUCCCCGGGCUCAACCUGGGAAUGGCAAUGGAUACUGGCAAGCUAGAGUGUGUCAGAGGAUGGUGGAAUUCCCGGUGUAGCGGUGAAAUGCGUAGAGAUCGGGAGGAACAUCAGUGGCGAAGGCGGCCAUCUGGGACAACACUGACGCUGAGGCACGAAAGCGUGGGGAGCAAACAGGAUUAGAUACCCCCGUAGUCCCUGUCUCUUAUAC